UACAGAGGGUGCAAGCGUUGUUCGGAAUUAUUGGGCGUAAAGAGCUCGUAGGCGGUUUGUCGCGUCGGCCGUGAAAACUUGGGGCUUAACUCCAAGCUUGCGGUCGAUACGGGCAGACUUGAGUUCGGCAGGGGAGACUGGAAUUCCUGGUGUAGCGGUGAAAUGCGCAGAUAUCAGGAGGAACACCGGUGGCGAAGGCGGGUCUCUGGGCCGACACUGACGCUGAGGAGCGAAAGCGUGGGGAGCGAACAGG
rnacentral:rRNA from 1 species